AGCCUCCCUCCUCCUCCAGCCAGCUGGCAAAGCGGAGAGAGCCUGGAGUACGGGGGCUAGGUUCAUUCCCCCUGCGCCGCCCGGCCAGGAACCGGACUGUUGGAGCUACCCCCAUCCCUUCUCUGCAUCCCCUGAGCCAGCAGCAGGGAGAGAACAUGCCGGUAACGGAGCUAGAUUCCCCCUCUCCUCCCCCAAGACCGCAGCAGAGAGACCGAGGGGCUGCGGAGGUUCAGAUGCUCCCAAGCUGGCAACAAGGACUUAGGGUGCAGGAGCUCUACAGGCCCCACCGUCAAAACAAAUAGAUCUAGGGGGCCUGGAGGUGUGAGCCCUGCAGAGCCGCACAGCAGUGCUGUGCUCACUCCCCCUCUCAUCAGACGGUGCUUCUGGGACACGCGGCCGGUGGCAUAUUGCGCCAGUUACAUACCCAGCAAAUAGACAGAGGACACAUAGAGGCUUAGAUAUGUGGAUACUUUUUAUUCAGUACUCAAAGUACAUUCACCUGCAAAAAACCCAGCACAGUUGUCCAAAUGUUUUGAAUAUUAACAUUUGAGAGACAUAGCUGGUCUGUUAAAGGUGUAGAGUGAUAUUGCACUCAACUUAAUAAAGUCACUAGAAAUGACACAGGUGUUUUCAUGAGACUCCCUGUAUGAUGCCCUGUUAAACAGAACGAUCUGAGGACUAUAUUCCUAUAUAAUGUCUCUUUAAACAAAAGCUACCUGUGGUAAUGAUUGUUUUGUUUCUGAUAUUUACAUGGGAAGGAUUUGUAAACUUAUUAAAACUUCCAAAAAAUAAAGAAAACCCCAAUAACAACAAAAUAAAGUGUCAUAUUAAGUAGGGCCAAAUUAGUGAGACAUUGGGGUCACGGGUUAAAACUGAGAGCUGUUUGCAAAUCUAGGGAACAUCAGUCCUUCCCCAAAGCCCUCUCACGUAACCUUCAACCUGAAAGGGAGGGAGAUUGGGACAAAGGACUGAGGCCUGGUCUAUAUUACAAAGUUAGGCCUGCGUAAGCUGCAUUAGGUCGAGUUACUAAUGUAUGUGCCUAUGCUACUGAGUCCCUUCUGCUGACCUAAAGGGCUUGUAAAAUCGACUUCUGUACUCCAUCUCCACAAGAGGCGUAGUGCUUCAGUCAACAUCAACAUGGGGAUAGUGUAGACGCUGCACUGUGUAAUUCAAAUGAAAAUUGGCCUCCAGGAGGUGUCCCACAGUGCUCCGCUGUAACCACUCUGGAGAGCACUUGCAACUCCACUGCACUUCAGCCAGGUACACAGGAAACAGCCGCCCGCCUGUUAAAGCCCCGGGAACUUUUGAAUUUUCAUUUCCUGUUUGAUCAGCGUGGAGAGCUUGCCAGCACAGCUUACAAUGGAUGCUCAAGGCUGCAAAUGCGCUCCAGCAUGGAGCACACAGGAGGUGGUGGAUCUUUUUGCUGUGUGGGGAGAGGAGCCUGUGAGGCAAAGCUCCAAACCAGCAGAAGAAAUGCUGGCAUCUAUGCCAAAAUCGCGUAGAGCAUGGGGGAGAUGGGCUACACCAGGGACACACAGCAGCGCCACGUGAAAAUAAAGGAGCUUCGGCAAGUGUACCAGAAGACAAGGGAGGCAAACAGUCGCUCUAGUUCUGAGCCACAGACAUGCCACUUCUUUGAUGAGCUGCAUGCGAUUCUAGGCGGCGACCCCACCACUACCUCAAAACGCUCCGUGGAUACCUCCCAGGAGCCCUGGGCGACCUCGGGCAACAAUGAGGAGGACAUUGUUGAGGAGGAGAAGAAGAAUGCGCAGCAGGCAAGCAGAGGAUCCAUUCUCCUCAACAGCCCAGAACCUUUUUUAACCCUGGAGCUCAGCCCCUCACAGGACCAAUUGUUGGCAGAGCAUGAUGCUGAGGAAGGCACCUCUGUCUUUCACCUGAGGAGCAAAAAGCAUUUGGGGAAGAUUAAUCAAGUAAGCCUCACAGCACUCUUGUGGGAAGUAAGCACCAGAACAACCAUAUCAAGGGGGAAACCGAGGCACUGAGGGCGCUUUCCUGGGAAUCUUUAAUACCCAAGGGUAGGCAAGUAAGACCUUGGUUUUACCUCUCAUCCACAAGGAGGUGCCUCCAGCAGCCUACUGGCCCCUGGGACAUUGGUUCAGCACUUUCUCUAGCACUUCAGGAUUCCUUGGACAUCUCCCAUCCAAGUACUGAGCUGCCCUGGAUCUGCUUCUAUGGUGAUAUCUUAUAGGCUCACAAUACAAGGCAGCAGAUCUGCAGGUGAAAAUCUGAUUCAGGUACCAAGGGAAAGGACUGUAAAGGUCUCAAUAUUUUUCUGAUCAUCUCUUCCCAGAAGAGGGUUAGUGGUUGAAUGGGGGGUACUGCAGGCCAGUAUGCAUUAGCAGAGUCCUGGAGGGAAUGCUUAACCCAUCUCUUUCUGCAGUAUGGCAUAUCUGGCUCAAGCCUAUUAAUUUUUAAUAUUAGUAGUAGUAUUGUAGUAGUACCCCUUGUGAUCUGUAAAACCAUAGAAUAAAAGGUGGUCCCCCAAAAACUUACAAUCUAAUUUAUGACAAGAUGCAUGCAUGUGGUUACAUUGGCCUGCAAUCUUGCAGAACUAGAUGGUUUCAAGUCAAAUAAUUUUUAAAAAUGGUACGAGACAAACAUACAGGAAAUGAAACAGCGCUUAGAAUUCUCUACUGGCCAGCAGCCCACCUGUUAUCAGCUGGCAGUUUCCUGCAAGCAUCACGAUACCAGUGGGCCUUGAGGAGAGCUUUAAAGGAGGACAGUGUGAUGGUUCUUGGGCCGCCCUGGGCUGUUACCCCUGCCUCCAGCAUGAGGGACUCUUUCUAUGGGUGUCAGCUAAAUAAAACAAAAGUAGGUUUAUUUCAGUAAGAAUAAAGAUUUAACUAGAGAAGUGAAGGAAACAAAUGGGUACAACACAAAACAAAACCCAUAAAACAUGAACCUGGGUCUACACUUACCAAUAGUUACUUUUCCUGGCUAAUAAAGUAGGUUCUCCCCCAAAAGCUCAGAGUUUUACAGUUGGUUUCACAAGAACCAGAAUCCAAUCAUUCAUGAAAGUCCCCCCACUCUGCAAAGGGUUUCCUCAGUGAAUGGAUCCAGAGAGCUUCUCCCUCCCCUGUGUGAUACUGAAAACAGCCUUUUGUUCCUAUUCACGCUCAGGGCAAACCCCUGUCUGUUUUAAUGUUUCUUUCACACCUCCAAGAGGUUCAGUUGCUCAGUGGUGCCUCUGAUGGUUUCCAUUGGCAGUUUUGGGAGGGAGCAAGGCUGAUCAACUGAGCCUUGCAUUACCUUGUCGGUUGAUUAGGGAGGAGUGACAACUCCCUCUUGCUUGGAUAGGUCAUCCUUCAGGUCCAUUAAUUGAUUUCUGGUAAUUAAUUUGUACUCCAGGUCCAUAAAGCAGACUUUCAAUGUAAAUACAUUGUGUCUUAAAUAUUACCCAUACAUACAUCUCACAAUUAUUAUGAGUCUUGACAAGUUAUUUGCUUUCUGAAGAUACCUUACACGAUAUCCCUUAUGGAUAAGUACCUUGCACGAUGUGUGUUUGGUGUAAUGAGUUUGUCGGGUCUGAGGUGAGUGCUGUUUACAAACAACAGGGGACCUUUUGCCAAGGGCUCUCUGUGUUACAAACAGGAUAGUGACUUUCCAGACCAUUUGAGGGAGGCUAUUCUAUGCUUACAGGAUGGCAUGGAAGAAAGAGCAACAGUGCUUAUGGGAGAAGCAGUCAGACAGGUGGAGUGGAGGAAGCAGGGGCAAUGCAAUGAGACUGUUUCAAUUACCCUUUCCUUGAGCCCUCAGGUUCACAAAAUUAAAGAAAAUCAGACAUGAAACUGUUUGUAAACUAGGAACCACCAAAGAGGAUCACUGGAGGAUAAUGGACAUUGUGAAUAUAGAAUUAAAUCUAGGUUUUAAACUGCACUGUACAACAGACUGCCAGUGAUAGACACCGUCAUCGCUAGGCACACACAGCCACUAUAGAGGAAUGUGAUCCAUGGAUGGAUCUUAAGGUGCUAACCCCACUCUGUUUAAGUCAAUAGAGGGGUUUGGCUGGGGAGAGAUUUUUGGUUCUGUGAAAGUGUCCUCUCGCCAGGGCGAAAUGGAAGAAAAUGUGCUCGAGCAGUUUCACCUGCCUGCAGAAAUGACUUCAAGAGGAGACUGUAGGCUUAGGUGUUUAUUUAACAGGUGUGUGUGUGUGUACUAACCACAUGGUGCUUGGAGUCCUCAAGGGGAAAGGCUGUAGCAGCAAUAAUUAUACCUGCACUUACCCAGAUCAAAGCUAAAAUAUGGAUCGUUUGGGAGCCUUAAGGGUCCUGUGUGGAGACUGUGCACAAUGGGCUUAUGUGCACCUGCCAAGCAUCACAUCACAGAGCUUUAACUAAUGAAUGGCGACAAGCCAGGGAUGGAGAUUGUGGAGUUACAACAUGCCUUGAGUAAGGGGCAGAGCAGAGCUGCACUUCCUCAGAAGGAGACAAGGGACUGAAUUGUGCUUGAGUCAUGAUUCAGUCCCGGCUUCUCCUUUGCUCCAGGGGAAAAGUAAAGUGUGCCAGGCCUAACCUGAUGCAGCUUUCUUACCCCUUUGAGUCAACCCAGCUGCAUUGGCCAGCACAUUGAGGGGGGCCACUAAUGAUCCAAGACCGCACCCAACUUGCAUGGGACCCAAAGUAGCAGCCUGUGACAGCUGUUUUCCCGCUGUGCACAGACUGGUAAUGUGGAUAAGCCAUACGAGGGAAUGAAGGGCUGCCCUUACUCUCCUCCAUAGGUUCAAAAGGGGGCUCACAGUUAACCCUCCUUUGGCUGGAGGAAAGGGCAGGAGAGAAGGUUUUGAAUAUGUGGAGUUCUGAUUUGCGAGUCCAAGGAAUUGGGACAGUCUAAUGAUUUUUCCAUAUAGCAGGGUUAAGCUAUGUCAGUGGGAGCACUCAGAGGAUGUUUGUUUAAAGUGAUGACUAAUGAUGGAAGAAGACCAGGCCUGUAAAAAACCAAGUCCCUAAAGAUCUAAAGUCAUAGCAAAUGGAUGGGCUAAAGGAACAAAUGUCCAUUGUGAACUAUCGUUUUUAUCUUUUUAAACCGUUGUGGCACUAAAGGCUGUUGGAUCAAAAUCUACAAACACACUAGAGCAAAAUGCAGCUUAGUUAGAUCCUCUCUCCCUCUAGUGGUUGGACUCGAAGACAACUAACAGCCAUUAGAGUUGCGCUUAGCUUAGCUCAAGUGAUUCGGUUGUGAUGCUCUGAUGACCAUGGGAUCGACAUAUUUGCAAUUAUGGAUCAUUUUGCUGGCUGCAUCUCCUUUAAUUAUGCAGCAUCACCUGUUACUCCCAUGCUAAAAAAAUACAUCUUUUUAACACAUAGACAUUAAAAAGGAGGUCAGACUACAUGAUCACAGUGGUGCCUUCUGGCCUUGAGAUCUAUGAAUCUAGCCUGAAAGGGUAUUAACCGCUACUACAGCUAAUAUCCAACCAAAUAUUUUUAAGCCUCCCUAUUAUAAACAAAUUAAAAUCCCCUAAAUGUCAGUAAGUCUGGAAAUGCACUGUUAGGUGUUGAGCCAAUGUCCCCACUGUGGGUUUUUUCCAUGUCAGGGCAGGGUGUGGAUAAACUGGCUUUUAUAACAGGAAGAGUGUUUAAUAUUUCACUAUGAUGAGAUGACAGUCUAGAACAUAUGGCUCCUAACAAGCUAUGCAAAAGAGAGCAUUCUAACUCAGAGGGUGCAGACUCAGACCCUGCUUUAAUCAGAAAGGGAGGAGGUGAUCCCAUUUGCAUACGUUCAAUGCCUAUAGAGACAGGCUUCCAUAUAAAUAUUCUGACGAUGGGAGAUAUGUUGCGUGAAUAAGCAAAAUGUCUUACAUAUAAACUACUGUGAGGCCCCAAACCCUUCAUCUGUUUUCUGUCCAGUAUUCACAAGUAAAAUGAAUAGUAAGUUUUGAAAUUUAAUUUAUCACUAAGGCAGCUGUUUAAAAAAAAUCUGUGAUUAAAUACAUUUAUAUUU